UACAGAGGGGCAAGCGUUGUUCGGAAUUACUGGGCGUAAAGGGCGCGUAGGCGGCCUGCUAAGUCGAACGUGAAAUCCCUGGGCUCAACCCAGGAACUGCGUCCGAUACUGGUUGGCUUGAAUCCGGGAGAGGGAUGUGGAAUUCCAGGUGUAGCGGUGAAAUGCGUAGAUAUCGGGAGGAACACCAGUGGCGAAGGCGGCUGACCUGGCCCACUCUUGACGCUGAGGCGCGAAAGCUAGGGAGCAACGGG
rnacentral:rRNA from 1 species